CAAGUGCAGUGGUAUUUACAACUAAUUUAUCACAACCAGCUACUGAUUCCUUUGUUCCUUCUCCACUCCCACUGCUUCACUU
rnacentral:sRNA from 1 species